rnacentral:rRNA from 1 species
GACGAACGCUGGCGGCGUGCUUAACACAUGCAAGUCGAACGGAAAGGCCCUGCUUUUGUGGGGUGCUCGAGUGGCGAACGGGUGAGUAACACGUGAGUAACCUGCCCUUGACUUUGGGAUAACUUCAGGAAACUGGGGCUAAUACCGGAUAGGGGCUCCUGCUGCAUGGUGGGGGUUGGAAAGUUUCGGCGGUUGGGGAUGGACUCGCGGCUUAUCAGCUUGUUGGUGGGGUAGUGGCUUACCAAGGCUUUGACGGGUAGCCGGCCUGAGAGGGUGACCGGCCACAUUGGGACUGAGAUACGGCCCAGACUCCUACGGGAGGCAGCAGUGGGGAAUAUUGCACAAUGGGCGGAAGCCUGAUGCAGCAACGCCGCGUGCGGGAUGACGGCCUUCGGGUUGUAAACCGCUUUCGCCUGUGACGAAGCGUGAGUGACGGUAAUGGGUAAAGAAGCACCGGCUAACUACGU